rnacentral:rRNA from 2 species
UGAGGGGGGCUGCUCCUAGUACGAGAGGACCGGAGUGGACGCAUCACUGGUGUUCGGGUUGUCAUGCCAAUGGCACUGCCCGGUAGCUAAAUGCGGAAGAGAUAAGUGCUGAAAGCAUCUAAGCACGAAACUUGCCCCGAGAUGAGUUCUCCCUGAGACUUUAGGUCUCCUGAAGGAACGUUGAAGACGACGACGUUGAUAGGCCGGGUGUGUAAGCGCAGCGAUGCGUUGAGCUAACCGGUACUAAUGAACCGUGAGGCUUAACCUU